UAUAAAGGAGCUUCAUUCAAGUCAUAAACCAAACUUUGGAAAAAACUUAAUUUGAACAAUGAUCAAUUUUAUUCUUCAGUUGAAGGUAGAAGAAUUUGAGCUGGCAUAAAGCAAAGUCCAGUGGUGGAAUGGGAAGUUACACCUUGGCAUCUGCAAACCUGCAUUACCACAACACACAGGAGUGAGAGUCAAGAACAAAUGGAUCCAGAGACAGUGGUUUGCUGUAAGUUAUUUACAGCAAGCAUCAUGUUGCACCCAACCAAUAAAAGGUUGGAUCUCGCAGGGACUCGAAAUAGAUAUAUCAAUGAUAUUUUUUCCAAUGUACGGUGUUUCCACGUUCUUUGCCAAAAAGUGGAGAUUGUAAGAGGGAAAAUCAAUAUUGCAGGUAUUUUCCUUUGUUUAAUUUGAAUUCAAAAACAGUGCUUUCAUUUAAAGUGUCAUGCAUUAGAUUUCUCAGCUGUUAUUUGAACACUUUAAAAAAUACGUUAAGUGCUACCAGGUUUGUGGUCCAUCCACGAUACCAUAAUCAGAGCAGAAUUAUAGCAUGGUGCAAUAAAGUUGUGAUUAUAUGAAUAAACUAGCAACUCAAAGCUCAUGAGCCCAAAUCUGGGUUAAAGAUUAAACAGAUUAUAAUUAUUAAAGAACAAUUAAAUAUUGUGACCCUCAUGUCCCUGCACAAUCUGACCUAAAUGUAACACCAUUCCACGGGAUAUCUUUGACUUCUGUUGCUUUUGAAGCAGGCCAGUCAGUUGUACUAAGGUAGGACUUGACUGUAAAUAUGAAACUCAAGAGACUGCAUGCUUCUAAUGCAAGACUUCCACCCAAAACAUCCACAAUUCUUUUUGUCCCAGGCAUGCUGCUCCAGGACCUGUCACUUACCUGCCACUGUCUCUCAACUCCAGCCCAGCUCAUUGGCACCACCAUCUAGAAACUUGCACCAGACUUCAGUCCUCCCUGGAGUCCUUUCCAGUCACUCCUCUUCUCCUCUCUAUUGUGGUCACCUUACCUCCCCACACUCGGUCCUGAUGCUGGAUUUGGACCAGAAAUGUCAACAGUUUCUUUCCAUAUGACGAUGAGACAAAGGAACCGAAUUAGGUCAUUCAAUCCUCAAGUCUGCUCUGCUAUUCAUAAAACAAUCAACACCAGACAGCUUACCUUUCCUUAUUUUAAUACUAUAUUAGUCACUGCAAACCGAAAUGGUUCGGACACUGGCACUGGACUACAACCUCAUGACAUCCAUUUCCUUACUGGCGUUAAAUACCAUGGCUGCACUGUAUACUCCUGCUGAUAAUCCACCAAACUAUUCACUGGCUUUGAAUCAGAAUGACAAGUAUUUGAAAUUGUGUAUAAUGUAAGCAUGGUUAGAGCUUUCUGUGUAGCCUGCAUUAACGUGCAGUUUAAAGUGAUGGACAUUGCAUGGCAACUACACAAUAACUGAAUAUAAGUUUUUUCCAGUUUGUAAAAUUGGGGAGAUGACCACAUGUGGCUAUAUUUCAUUUGCAACUUAUAUACUAGAAGUUGGGGGCUUAAUUCAUAUGAUUGAAAUAUGAUGAAGGAACCUUCACAAACACCCAAAACCCCCCGAUGACCCUAUGGUUCCAGUCUCUGAGGCCAAUGUGAGAGCAUCGCUCAGGAGGGUGAACCCAUGGUAAGUAUCUGCCCCAGAUGGAGUACCUACCCAAGUUCUAAAGACCUGCUCUGUUCAACUUGCUGGAGUACCCCCCAAUAUAUUUAACCUCUCGCUUCGGCAGUCUGGGGCAUCCACCACCUGCUUCAAUUACUCAAGUGCCUAAGAAGAACACAUUAACCUGCCUCAAUGACUAUCAUUCAGCAGCAUUUAUAUCCACAGUAAUGAAGUGUUUUGAGAGGUUGGCGAUAAAACAUGUCAACUCCUGCCUGAGGAGCAACUUAGAUCUGCUCUAAUUUGCCUAUUGGCAAAACAGGUCCACGGCAGACGCCAUUUCUUUGGCUGUUCACUCAAUCCUUGAAUAUUUGGACAGCUGCUUUAUUGAUUACAGCUUGGCAUUCAAUAUUAUCAUCUCCUCAAAACUAAUCAAUAAGCUUUAAGACCUUGACCUCAAUACCUUCUUAUGCAAUUGCAUCUAGAAUUUCCUCACUUGCAGACCCCAAUCAGUUUGGAUUGACAACAACAUCUCCUCCACAAUUUGCAUCAGCACAGCUGUAGCACAAGGCAAUGAGCUUAGCCCCAUGCUCUACUCGCUUUAUAUUUAUGACUGUGUAGCAAAGCACAGCUCCAAUGUCAUAUUUAAAUUUGCUGCCAGUACCACUGUCAUUGGCCAACUCAAAGGUGGUGACCAAACAGCAUAUAGGAGGGAUAUGGAAAAUUUGGACGAGUGAUGCCACAACAACCUCUCACCCAAUGUCAGCAAGACCAGGGAGCUGAUUAUUGAAUGCAGAAGGAUGAAACUGGAGGUCCGUGAGCCAGUCCUCACUGGUGGAUCAGAGGUGGAGAGGGCUAGAAACUUUAAGUUCAUUAGUGCUAUCAUUUCAAUAGAUCUGUCUUGGACUCAGUAUGUAAGUGCAAUUAUGAAGAAAGCACAGAAGUACCUCUACUUCACAGAAAAUUGUGAAGAAUCAGCAGGCUAUCUAAAACCUUGACAAAGUUAUAUAGAUUCGUGGUGGAGAGUAUAUUGACUGGCUGCAUCACAGCCUGGUAUGGAAACACCAGUGCCUUUGAAUGGAAAACCCUACAAAAACUAGUGGAUACGGGCUAGUCCAUCAUGGAUAAAGCCCUCCUCACCACUGAGCACAACUACAUGAAGCGUUGUCACAUGAAGGUAGAAACCGACAUCAAGGACACCCACCACACAGGCCAUGCUCUCUUCUCUUUGCUGCGAUCAGGAAGAAGGUACAGGAACCUCAAGACCCCCACCACAGGUUCAGAAACAGUUAUUACCCCUCAACCAUCAAGCUCUUGAACCAAAGGGGAUAACUUCACUUGCCCCAUCACUGAACUGCUCCCACAAUCAAUGGAUUCACUUUCAAGGAUUCUUCAUCUCAUGUUCUUGAUACUUACUGCUUAUUUAUUUAUUAUUGUUAAUUCAUUAUGUUUCUUCUGUAUUUGCAUAGUUUGUUAUCUUUUGCAGACUGGUUGUUUGUCCGUCCAGGUGGGUGUGGAAUUUCAUUGAUUGCAUAAGACCACAAGAUAUAGGAGCAGAAUGAGGCCAUUUGGCCCAUUGGAUCAACUCCACCAUUUCAUCAUGACUGAUCCAAUUUUCUUCUCAGCCCCAAUCUCCUCCCUUCUUGCAUCCCUUCAAGCCCUGACCAAUCAAGUAUCUAUCAACCUCUGCUUUAAAUAUACAUAAAUACUUGGCCUCCACAGAUUUUCCACUCUCUAGCUACAGAAAUUCCUCCUCAUCUCCAUUCCCAAAAGAUGCCCCUCUAUUCUGAGGGUGUGUCCCCUGGUCUUAGACUCUCCCAUCAUAGGAAACAUCCUCUCCAUAUGCACUCUGUAAAGGCCUUUCACCAUUUGAUAGGUUUCAAAGAGGUCACCCCUCAUUCUUCUGACUUCCAGUGAAUACAGGCCCAGAGCCAUCAGAUGCUCUUCAUAUAUUAAGGCAUUCAAUCUUGGAAUCAUUUUCAUGAACCUCCUUUGAACCUUCUCCAGUUUCAAAUCAUUUGUUCUAAGAUUACGGGCCCAGAUCUGCUCGCAAUGCUCCAGUGAGGCCUCACAAAUGCCUUAUAAAGUUUCAACAUUACAUCCUUGCUAUUGUAUUCUAGUCCUUUUGAAAUGAACGCUAGCACUGCAUUUACUUUCCUCCCAAGUCCCUUUGUACAUCAAUUUUUUGUAUUUGCUCUCCAUUUAGAAAAUAGUCAACCCUUUUAUUUCUUCUACCAAACUGUGUGGCCAUACUAAUCUGUCAAGUCCUUCUAUAGCCUUUCUACUUCCUCAAAACUACCUGCCCUUCCAUAUAUCUUCAUAUCGUCUGCAAACUUUGCAAAAGAGCCAUCAAUUCCAUCAUCUAAAUCACUGACAUAUAACACAAAAAGAAUCUGUCCCUACACAGAACAAUGUGGAACACUACUAGCCACUGGCAGCCAGUCAGAAAAGGCUCCCUUUAUUCCCAAUCUUUUUCUCCUGCCAAUCCGCCACUUCUUUAUCCAUGCUAGAAUCUUUCCUGUAAUAUCAUGGUCUCGUAGCUUAAGUAGCCUUACGUGUGGCACCUUGUGAAAGACCUUCUGAAAAUCCAAGUACACAAUGUCACAACUCUUUUGUCUAUCUUCCUUGUUACUUCUUCAAAGAAUUCCAACAGAUUUGUCAGGCAAGAUUUUCCCUCGAGGAACCGAUGCUGACCUCUGCCAGUUUUAUCAUGUGCCUCCAAGUAUCCUGAGAUCUCAUCCUGAGUAAUCCACGCCAACAUCUUCCCAACCACUGAGGUCAGACUAACUGGCCUAUAGUUUCCUUUCUUUUGCCUCUCUCCCUUCCUGAAGAGUGGUGUGACAUUUGCAAUUCACUAGUCUUCCAGAACCAUUCUAGAAAGAAGGGAAAGAGGCAGAAAGAUCAUUACUAAUGCUUCCAUGAUAUCUUCGGCUACUUCUUUCAUAACUGGCGGUGCAGGCUCGAAGGGCUGAAUGGUCUACUUCUGCACCUAUUGUCUAUUGUCUAACUCUGGGAUGUAGUCCAUCUGGUCCAGAUGACCUAUCUAUCUUCAGACCUUUCAGUUUCCAAAGAACCUUUUCUCUAAUUAUGGUAAUUUCACACACUUCAUGCUCCCUGAUGCCUGGAACUUCCUCAAUAUUGUCAGUGUCUUCCACAAUGAAGACAAAUGCAAAAUACUUAUUCAGUUCAUCUGCUAUUUUGUUGUCUCCCAUUACUACCUCUCCAGCAUCAUUUUCCAGCGGUCCAAUAUCGACUCUUGCCUCUCUUUUACACUUUAUCCAUCUGAAGAAACUUUUGGUAUCCUCUUUAAUAUUAUUGGUUAAUAUUCGAUUCCAUUGUUUUUUUGGUUUACUGCAAAAAAAUGAAUCUCAGGGUUGCAUAUGGUGGCAUAUGUGUUCUUCGAUAAUAAAUUUACUUUUGAAGUUGGAACUUUGAAUUAUGAAAAUGGAUAUUGACUCACAAAACUUGUGCUAUGGAUGAUAAAGAACCAAGCUGAGCAAAAGUUAUGGUCAGGUCAGGGUUUGACAGUUUUUCUCUUGGAGCUGAACAACCACCCACACUACCCCCCCCCCCCCCCCCCAGCAUUCUCCACUCCUUUUCAUUCUCUCGGCUAUUUUCUCCUUACCUGGCCGUCACCUCCCUCUGGUACUUCUCCCCCUUCCCUUUAUGCCAUGGCCUUCUGUCCUCUCCUGUGGCAUUCCCACUUCUCCAACCCUUAAUCUCUUUCACCAAUUCACUUCCCAGCUCUUUACUUCACCCCUCCCCCCUCCCAGUUUCACCAGUCACCUACCACCUUGUACUUCUUCCUCCUCUCCCAGCACCUCCUUACUCUGACUUCUCAUCUCUUUUCUCCAGACUUGAUGAAGGGUCUUGACCUGAAACGUCGACUGUUUACUCUUUUCCAUCGAUGCUGCCUGGUCUGCUGAGUUACUCCAGCAUUUCAUGUGCAUUACAGUUUUUUAGUUGUUGGAUUUUUUUUGAGAAAAGCAUACAUCACCAUCGUGGUGAUGAUUUCCAUGCAAGAUCAUCCAUGUCCAUAGCCUAACAGAAUGUAGACAUGCUGUCAGUGGCCAUUUUAUUUGGUACACCUGCUUUUUAAUGUAAGUAUAGUAUCUUAUCGUUCAAUCAUUUAUUAAAGUAUUCAGAUAUA